rnacentral:rRNA from 1 species
CUUUUGCUGGCGACCGGCACACGGGUGAGUAACACGUAUCCAACCUGCCCUUUACUCGGGGAUAGCCUUUCGAAAGAAAGAUUAAUACCCGAUAGCAUAAUGAUUCCGCAUGGUUUCAUUAUUAAAGGAUUCCGGUAAAGGAUGGGGAUGCGUUCCAUUAGGUUGUUGGUGAGGUAACGGCUCACCAAGCCUUCGAUGGAUAGGGGUUCUGAGAGGAAGGUCCCCCACAUUGGAACUGAGACACGGUCCAG